rnacentral:rRNA from 1 species
CCCUUAGAUGUUCUGGGCCGCACGCGUGCUACACUGAGUGGAUCAGCGGGUCAGGUUGCGCGAAAGCGUUUCCUAAUCUUUAAAUCCGCUCGUGAUGGGGAUUGACGGUUGCAAUUUUCUGUCAUGAACGAGGAAUACCUUGUAAGCGCGGGUCAUCAUCCCGCGCUGAAUACGUCCCUGCCCUUUGUACACACCGCCCGUCGCUCCUACCGAUUGAGUGGUCCGGUGAGGCUUUGGGAUCUGAGCGGAAAGAGCGUUUCGCUGUUUCUGCUCGGAAAGCUCAGUCGAACCUUAUCAUUUAGAGGAAGGAGAAGUCGUAACA